CUACGGGGGGCUCCAGUGAGGAAUAUUGGUCAAUGGGCGCGAGCCUGAACCAGCCAUCCCGCGUGCAGGAUGACGGCCCUAUGGGUUGUAAACUGCUUUUCUAUGCCAAGAAACCUGAUUACGUGUAAUCAGUUGCCGGUAGCAUAGGAAUAAGCAUCGGCUAACUCCGUGCCAGCAGCCGCGGUAAUACGGAGGAUGCAAGCGUUAUCCGGAUUCAUUGGGUUUAAAGGGUGCGCAGGUGGGCUUGUAAGUCAGUGGUGAAAUGCUGCCGCUUAACGGUAGAACUGCCAUUGAUACUGCGAGUCUUGAGUAUGGUUGAGGUAGGCGGAAUGUGUUGUGUAGCGGUGAAAUGCAUAGAUAUGACACAGAACGCCAAUUGCGAAGGCAGCUUACUAAGCCAUUACUGACGCUGAGGCACGAAAGCGUGGGGAGCGAACAGGAUUAGAUACCCCAGUAGUC
rnacentral:rRNA from 1 species